AGUGAACGCUGGCGGUAGGCCUAACACAUGCAAGUCGAACGGCAGCGCAGUAAGAGCUUGCUCUUACGGGUGGCGAGUGGCGGACGGGUGAGGAAUACAUCGGAAUCUACUUUUUCGUGGGGGAUAACGUAGGGAAACUUACGCUAAUACCGCAUACGACCUACGGGUGAAAGCAGGGGAUCUUCGGACCUUGCGCGAUUGAAUGAGCCGAUGUCGGAUUAGCUAGUUGGCGGGGUAAAGGCCCACCAAGGCGACGAUCCGUAGCUGGUCUGAGAGGAUAAUCAGCCACACUGGAACUGAGACACGGUCCAGACUCCUACGGGAGGCAGCAGUGGGGAAUAUUGGACAAUGGGCGCAAGCCUGAUCCAGCCAUACCGCGUGGGUGAAGAAGGCCUUCGGGUUGUAAAGCCCUUUUGUUGGGAAAGAAAAGCAGCAGGUUAAUACCCCGCUGUUCUGACGGUACCCAAAGAAUAAGCACCGGCUAACUUCGUG
rnacentral:rRNA from 1 species